rnacentral:rRNA from 1 species
CGCCCUUCCUACGGGAGGCAGCAGUGGGGAAUAUUGCACAAUGGGCGGAAGCCUGAUGCAGCAACGCCGCGUGGGGGAUGACGGCCUUCGGGUUGUAAACCUCUUUAGCAGGGAAGAAGCGAGAGUNNCGUCNNC